GUUUAUGCGGUUUAGUCCUGUGUUUGCUCGUACGCAGGGUUUUUCGCUUGACUUUUCCAUGCGGUGGCCCAGGGAACGAUUUCCAUAUCAUUGGAUCCCUCGUCCCAUGUACGGAGGUGUGGGUCCGGCGGCAUCAUUGUGAAUUGCGUCCGACGAGGUUCACUGAUUGCCCGUGGAUUUCUCUGGGCGCCAAGACAGAUUUGGG
rnacentral:lncRNA from 1 species